AGUGAACGCUGGCGGUAGGCCUAACACAUGCAAGUCGAACGGCAGCACAGUAAGAGCUUGCUCUUACGGGUGGCGAGUGGCGGACGGGUGAGGAAUACAUCGGAAUCUACUUUUUCGUGGGGGAUAACGUAGGGAAACUUACGCUAAUACCGCAUACGACCUACGGGUGAAAGCAGGGGAUCUUCGGACCUUGCGCGAUUGAAUGAGCCGAUGUCGGAUUAGCUAGUUGGCGGGGUAAAGGCCCACCAAGGCGACGAUCCGUAGCUGGUCUGAGAGGAUGAUCGGCCACACGGGAACUGGGACACGGUCAAGACUCCUAAGGGAGGCAGCAGAGGGGAAUAUUGGACAAUGGGCGCAAGCAUGAUCCAGCCAGACCGCGUGGGUGAAGAAGGCCUUCGGGUUGUAAAGCCCUUUUGUUGGGAAGGAAAAGCAGCAGGUUAAUACCACGCUGUUCUGACGGUACCCAAAGAAUAAGCACCGGCUAACUUCGUG
rnacentral:rRNA from 1 species